GGCGUGCCUAUAAUGCAAGUCGAACGAACUCUGGUAUUGAUUGGUGCUUGCAUCAUGAUUUACAUUUGAGUGAGUGGCGAACUGGUGAGUAACACGUGGGAAACCUGCCCAGAAGCGGGGGAUAACACCUGGAAACAGAUGCUAAUACCGCAUAACAACUUGGACCGCAUGGUCCGAGUUUGAAAGAUGGCUUCGGCUAUCACUUUUGGAUGGUCCCGCGGCGUAUUAGCUAGAUGGUGGGGUAACGGCUCACCAUGGCAAUGAUACGUAGCCGACCUGAGAGGGUAAUCGGCCACAUUGGGACUGAGACACGGCCCAAACUCCUACGGGAGGCAGCAGUAGGGAAUCUUCCACAAUGGACGAAAGUCUGAUGGAGCAACGCCGCGUGAGUGAAGAAGGGUUUCGGCUCGUAAAACUCUGUUGUUAAAGAAGAACAUAUCUGAGAGUAACUGUUCAGGUAUUGACGGUAUUUAACCAGAAAGCCACGGCUAACUACGUGCCAGCAGCCGCGGUAAUACGUAGGUGGCAAGCGUUGUCCGGAUUUAUUGGGCGUAAAGCGAGCGCAGGCGGUUUUUUAAGUCUGAUGUGAAAGCCUUCGGCUCAACCGAAGAAGUGCAUCGGAAACUGGGAAACUUGAGUGCAGAAGAGGACAGUGGAACUCCAUGUGUAGCGGUGAAAUGCGUAGAUAUAUGGAAGAACACCAGUGGCGAAGGCGGCUGUCUGGUCUGUAACUGACGCUGAGGCUCGAAAGUAUGGGUAGCAAACAGGAUUAGAUACCCUGGUAGUCCAUACCGUAAACGAUGAAUGCUAAGUGUUGGAGGGUUUCCGCCCUUCAGUGCUGCAGCUAACGCAUUAAGCAUUCCGCCUGGGGAGUACGGCCGCAAGGCUGAAACUCAAAGGAAUUGACGGGGGCCCGCACAAGCGGUGGAGCAUGUGGUUUAAUUCGAAGCUACGCGAAGAACCUUACCAGGUCUUGACAUACUAUGCAAAUCUAAGAGAUUAGACGUUCCCUUCGGGGACAUGGAUACAGGUGGUGCAUGGUUGUCGUC
rnacentral:rRNA from 2 species